GACGAACGCUGGCGGCGUGCUUAACACAUGCAAGUCGAGCGGAAGGGCCUGCUUUCCCUUGUGGUGUGCGGGUACGCGAGUGGCGAACGGGCGAGUAACACGUGAGUGACUUGCCCCCAACUUGGGUAUAAGCCUGGGAAACUGGGUCGAAUUCCAGAUAGGACUGCAGGGUGCUGCCGGGGGUGGAAAACGAUUUUCUAGUGGUUGGGGAUGAGCACGCGGCGUCUCUGCUUGUUGGGGGGGUAAUGGCCUACCAAGGCGGUGACGGGUAGCCGGCCUGGGAGGGUGGACCGCCCCACUGAGACUGUGUUCCGGCCCGGACUCCUACGGGAUGCAGCUGUGGGGACUAUUGCGCACUGGGCGGCAGCCUGCUGCAGCGACGCCGCGUGGGGGAUGACGGCCUUCGGGUUGUACACUCCUUUCGACCGCGAGGACGCCACCUGGUUGGGAGGGUGGUGACGGUAGUGGUAGAAGAAGCACCGGCUAACUACGUG
rnacentral:rRNA from 1 species